UACGAAGGGGGCUAGCGUUGCUCGGAAUCACUGGGCGUAAAGCGCACGUAGGCGGCUUGUUAAGUCAGGGGUGAAAUCCUGGAGCUCAACUCCAGAACUGCCUUUGAUACUGGCGAGCUUGAGUUCGGGAGAGGUGAGUGGAACUGCGAGUGUAGAGGUGAAAUGCGCAGAUAUCAGGAGGAACACCAAUUGCGAAGGCAGCUCGCUGGGACGUAACUGACGCUGAGACGCGAAAGCGUGGGGAGCAAACAGG
rnacentral:rRNA from 1 species